rnacentral:pre_miRNA from 1 species
AUCGUUGACACGGCCAAAUCGACUCACCAUUAACACUUCUUAACAGCUCUCCUAACAGCGUAACUAACAACUGUUUUUGUCCUUAAACCAACGAUAACGGCUGUUAGGCCAUGUUUUGUAACGGCUGUUAGGAGCGCUGUUAAGGAGUGUUAACGGUGAGUCUAUUUGGCUGGGUCAACGAU